AAACAGCGGCCGUGCUCUGUGCACGGACACUAGUGCUGUGAGGGCUGCAGCUGCUCGGACCACAGCUGUCUCAGUGGCACCAGCAUCCUGGGCAAUGCCACAGCAGCAGGCCCUGCAGGUCACGCUAAGACAGGGGCACCCUCGACCAAUCUCAGUCCACCCACCCCAGGAGCCGCCUGGCUAUGCCUGCCAGAUAAGCAAGAACCACAGUCCAGCCCUUCUCAGCGUCCCCUGCUCUGACCCCUUCUCCACCAUCUCUAGCUCUCAAGUCCCCCGGGGCUGAGCCUCUACCUAGAAGCUCUCCCCGCCCCGUGCAGCUCCCACCACGCCCACCUCCACAGCCCGUCUAAAACGUAAACCUCACCACAUCACCCCACCCGACAGCCCCUGCUGCGGCAGCAACAGUCAAAGGAGGCUGCACCGCGUGGCUCCUCCAGGGCCCUCUGCCCACCUUCCCUGACACCCUCCGCUCAAUCCCCCAAAUGCCCCAUCAUCCGCCUGCCUAUUCUCUCCCACUUAAGGUGCAGACCCUGUCCCAUGGGCCUCUUCCCAGCAUAUGAGCCAGCUUCAAGACUCACCAAACAGCAGCUUCCGGAGCCAGACUUGGCUCAGAACUCCCAGCAGUGUGGUGUACACCGUUCUCACAAAGGUGUGUGACAACCAUGAGGCGAAGGCCAUACCUGGAACACGAGGCCCUUGCUGUACAAAGAGUCCAGGACGGGCUGCAGAGAGAAGUGACUCAGGCGCGUGUAGCAGGUCCCAUACUCGGCCACUUCCGAGAGCAGGCUGCUGAUGCUCUCAGGAGACGCUCCUGACACGUGGACGCCCCGCUUCACCACAAAGGCCUGGGCUGGCUGCACAGGGGCAGAGGACACCAGUCACAGAGGCCAGGCACCCAGACCCCCAGUAAGUGCCCAGCAAGAGGGUUGGCUAAACGGCAGCUGGUGCCAGAACCAGCAAGUGCCGGCCCCAUCCCAGAUGACACCGCGGUCCAGUGAGAAGAGCAGCGCAGACCCCAAUCUCGGGACGCUCUUGGCAGGCAGGUGCUCCUGCCAGCGGUGGGAAGGCUCAGAACGCGCCUGGCACUUCUCCAGGACGGAAAUGGCAACGGGGGGAGGAACAUUUUCUAUCACUUUGCCGACAGCAAUAAACAUGUUAUUUCUCUGCAGCUUUUUAAAAGGACAUUA